CACAGAUGGACCUUUAUUGAGAUGAGCAGAUUCUAAGGGAGCUGCCUUGAAUGAACAGCCAAAGAAAGCAGAAAUGAAGAACAAGCAAUUGCAGCAGACAUGUUCAGUGUGUUUUCAACCUGAAAAGUAGGACUGGAAGAAACUGAUUAAGUCAAAUCACUUCUCUGUCUGUCCAUCCAUCCACCCACCCAUCCAUCCAUCCAUCCAUCCAUUCAUCCAUCCAUCCAUCCAUCCAUCCAUCCAUCCAUCCAUCCAUCCAUCCAUCCAUCCAUCCAUCCAUCCAUUUCCCUGAGGGAAGUCAGCUUUUAUUUCUGAGAAGGUCAAAGCAGCGCUCCCUUGUGGUGACAAUGAGGAUUGCAGGCAGUGAGAUAAGUGGAUAUUUAUUUAUUUAUUUAUUUAUUUAUUUAUUUAUUUAUUUAUUUAUUUCAUGAUCUGCGAUAGACUGCCACUUGUGGCCGGUCCCCAUCUGCAUCAGCUGUACCAUAAACCCAGUCUCAGUGUGACACAGAAAAAGCCUAAUUGGAAAGUAUGUCCUCUCUCUAAGCGACACUGUAUAAUAACAUACUCUGGACUGCAGGUCAGUCAAGGCCUGUGUUUAGGAGACUUGUAGACAUUGAAUGUCUGUGAGUCUGGACUUAGACUCUGUGGAGUGCUCAGGUCACCUGACUGUCCUGAAGCUUCCCACUGUGAUUUAUUUCCCUCCUACAGAGCCAGACACCUGAGCAACUGCAUUUCCUGGUUAUCCCCUAAUCCUCUUACACUGUGUAGAGUGUUCAAUCUCAGGGAGGGCCUGGGAAUCUGAGAGACACCACUGAGCCCCCUGGGCCUGGCUGACUCAACUUGAGGCUACUCUGUGUGUCUUCAUUUUGCUCACCAUCCAGAGACCUCAAAAGGCAGCAGUGAGCUUGCUGAGAGGCAAGGAGCCCCCAUAUUGGCCCAAAAGCAACUGUCCUCUUUUACAGGUUCAUCCACAGAGCAUGUAAUUUUGAUUGAUGCAACAUCGGGAAGAAUGAAUGACAUCAUCUCCCAAGGGCAAGUGCUGUGCUAGUGGACACUGAGGAGCUGCAGGGAUCAGACACCCUUUCCAGCCUCUCUUGUUCUUCCUUGUGAUGGUUCCUGCAGAUCUGAAAGAUCCAGGCAGUACAUGACAUGGGUUUGAAUAUAAUCUCAUUACACUUUAUUCCCUGCUCUGAAUCUAAGACCAGGUAAUUCCUACGUUUGUUUGUUUAUUUAUUUAUUUAUUCAUUUGAUAUAUGUGUGUGUGUGUGUGUGUGUGUGUGUGUGUGUGUAUCUGUAUACAUAUAUACAAUGUCGCUGUCUUUAGAAAUACCAGAGAGGGCAUCAAAUCUCAUCAGAGAUAUUUGUGAGCCACAAUGUGGUUGCUGGCAUUUGAACUCAGGACUUCUGGAAGAGCAAUCAGUUCUCUUAACACUGAGCAAUCUUUCCAAUUUCCAGUCUAACUUUCUUAAUUCCAGUACUGUAAUUCUUCAUUUAGGUUACAUCCUGAUCCCAGCCACGCUCCCUCCUCCUUUCCCAGUGCCACCUUACAAAUCCUUCUCACCAUAAUGCUCUCCCUUCUCUUUGUAGAAGGGCAGACUCCCUAGGUACCACCCCGCCCUGGGGCAUCUACAGUAUGAGGCACCCCCUGUCCCAAAGAUUUACAAUCAGGCUGCCCAGGUAUGGGGAAGGGUUCCCAUGGCAGGCAAGAGAGACUGAGACAGUCCUGGAUCUACUUGUCAGAUGACCCACAUGGAGACCAACUGCAGAUAGCUACACCUGGCCCUGGGGUUUGUUGCACAGGCUCUAGCAUACUCCAUGGUCCAAGGUAUCUGACUAUAGGGGACUUCUUGUAGUGUUUUAACCCCUCUAGUCUGCUCACCACUCUCCCCCACUCUUCCACAAGACUUCCCAAGCUCCAUCUGAGGACUGGCUGUGGCUUUCAGCUGCUGAGUGAAGCCUCUCCAGAGACAGGUGUGCUACUUUUCUGUCUGCAAGUAAAUCAGAGUAACAAAAGUACUGUCAGAGGUUGUCUCUGUCACAUGAGAUGGAUCUCACUUUGGGGCAGUCAUUGUUUGGUUGUUCCCUCAAUAUCUGCUAUAUCUUUAUCCCUGCACACUUAUUGGCAAAACAGAUUUUGAGUUGAAGGUGUUGUGAGUGUAUUGAUGUCCUCUUCCUCUUCUAGAAGUUCUUUCUUGCUACAGGAGGUGGCCAUUUCCAUCUUCUGCUCCGGUAGGAAUCUAAGCUAGAGUUACCCCCAUAGACUUCCCCAUCCUCUCCCUUACCAGGCAUACAGCAAGUCACCAGAGAUCCCUGGACACUCCUGCCCAGACAAUUUGUAAUCUCACUCCUAGCCCUCUUCCAAACCCCUCUCCCUAGACCUGAUCAGCAUUUCCAUCUCCUUUCCCUCCUCUUCUCUUACCUUGUUCCAUCACUUCAUCCUUCUUAGACUAUUUUGUUUCUCCUUCUUGUGAGAUCCACACCUCCUCACUCAGGCCCUCCUUCUUCCUUCAUGCCUAUCAACCUGUUAUCCUGCACUUUAUGGUUAAUGUCCACUUAUAAAUGACAUACAUUUUUCUGUGGUUCUGGGUUACCUCACUCAGGAUAACAUUCUCAAGUUCAUCCAUUUGCCUACAAAAUUCAUAAUGUAUUUAUUCUUAAUAGCUGACGAGUAUUCCAUUGUGUAGAUAUACAAUAUUUCCUGUAUCCAUUCUUCAGUAGGGGGACAUACAGGUUGUUUUCAGUUCUUGGACAUUACAGAUAAAACCACUAUUAACAUAGUUCAUCAAGCGUCCUUGUGGGAUGGUGGGUCACCAUUUGAUUAUAUGUCCCAGGGUUGUUUUGCUAAGUCCAGAUGAAAACUGAUUCCCAGUUUUCUGAGAAACUGCCAAUAUGAUUUCGAAAAUGGAUGUACAAGUUUUCAAUCCAAGCAGCAAUGGAGGAGUGUUCCCACUAUUCCACAUCCUCAUCAGCAUGUGCUGGAUGUCACUUUAGAUUUUUAUUUUAUCCAUACUGAUGCACAUAAUUUGGAAUCCCAGGGUGCUUUUGAUUUGGAUAUACCUGAUGACCAAGGAUGGUGACCAGUUCUUUAAGUGGCUCUUGGCCAUUCAAAGUUCUGCUGAUGAAUUUAUCUCUGCACCACAUUAUUAGGUUAGGAUAUUUGGUCUCUUGUAGUUUCAAUUGUUAUUUAUGUAAUUUUAAUAUUAGCCUUUUGUGCACUAUAGGGUUGGUGAAGAUCCUCUUCCAACCUGUAUGCAGACAUUUCUAUUAAGUGUUUUGUUUUACUUACAGAAGCUUUUCAGUUGCAUCAAGUUUCAUUUAUUAAUUGUUGAUCUCAAUAUCUGAGCGCCAUUGGUGUUCUGCUCAGGAAGUUGUCUCCUGUACCAAUGUGCUCAAGCCUAUUUCUCACUUUUUCUUGUAUCAGAUUUGAUGUAUAAAGUUUUAUUUUGAGGUCUUUGAUCCACUUGGACAUGUGUUUUGCACAGGUUUAUAGAUAAGGCUCAUUGCAUUCUUCCCUAUGCCUAUAUCCAAUUAAACCAGCACCACCUGUUCAAGAUGCUUUCUUAUUUUUUGUCAUAUGAUUUUGCCCACUUUAUUGACAAUAAGCAUCCAUACUUGUGUGGGUUUAUUUCAGGGUCUUGGAUUUCAUUUUAUUGAUCAGCCUGCCUGUUCCUAUACCAAUACUGUAGUUUUAUUGCUAUAGUUCUGUAGGACAGCAGUAAAUGAGAGAUGGUGAUUCCUCCCGAAAUUCUGUUAUUGUUCGGGAAUGUUUUAGCUAUCCUGGGUUUAUUAAAUCUUUCACUUGAAGUUGAGAAUUUCACGUUAAGGUCUGUAAAGACUUGUUUUGAUAUUUUAAUGGGUAUUGCAUUCACUUUCUGAUAUCUUUCAAUUGCUAUUUUCAGAGAUUUAAAAUUUUUGUCAUACAGAUCUUUCACUUUCUUAGAGUUACACUAAGACAUUUAUAUUAUUUGUUGCUAUUGUAAAGAGCAAUGUUUCCCUAAUUUAUUUGUCAGCCCCUUCAUUGUUUGUUUAAAAGAAUGGUACUGAUUUUUUUUAGUUAAUGUUGUAUCCACCCACUUUACUGAAGGUAUUUAUCAAAUGUAGGAGUUCUGUGAUAGAAUUUUUGGGGGCUCUUGUACAUACUAUGAUAUCAUCACAAAUGCCAAUAUGAUAUCUUCUUCCCUUCCAAUGCAUAUCUCGUUUUUCACAUUUAGUUGUCUUAUUGCUCUAGCCUGAACUUCAAGAACUAUAUUGAAAUGUUAGGGGGAGGGUGGCCAGCCAUGCCCUGCCCCAGAGUUUAUGGGAAUUAUUUUAAGUUUCUCUCUAUUUAGUUUGACGUUGGCUAGUGGACUGCUGUAUAUUACUUUGUGUUCAUGUAUUCUUCUGUAUCCUUCUCUCUCUGUAAGGUUCACAUGAUGGACUGUCACGUUUUGCCAAAGGCCUUUUCAGAAUCUACUGAGAUGAUAAUGAGAUUUUUUUAAAUUAAUCAAUUUAUUCAUUUAAUUUCAAAUGAUAUCCCCCUUCCUUGUUGCCCCUCCGCAAUCACCCAUUCCAUCCUCCCCAUGCCCCUCAGCUUGGCGUCUAUGAGGGAGCUCCUCCACUCUCUCCCCUACUCCCGCCUGACCACUCUAACAUCCCCCUAUGCUGGCAUAUCAAACCUCCACAGGACCAGGGGCCUCCUCUCCCAUUGAUGUCAGUGAAAGCCAUGUAUCUGGAGCCAUGCUUCCCUCCAUGUGUAUUCUUUAGUUUUUGCUUUGUUCUUCGGAGCUCUGGGUGUCCAGUAAACUGAUAAUGUUUUUCUUAUGGGGCUGAAUUCCCUCAGGUCCUUCAGUCCUUCACCUAGCUCUUCCAGUGGGGUCCCCAGGCACAGUCUGAUUGUUGGCUGUAAGUAUCUACAGCUGUAUGGGUCAAGUGCUGGUACAACCUCUCAGGGAAUAGCAAUAGCAGGCUUCUGUCAGUAAGCACAUCUUGACAUCAGUAACAGUGUCUCAGUUUCGUAUCUGCUCAUGGGAUGGAAUCCUAGGUGGAAUAGUUUCUGUAUGGCCUUUCCUUUAGUGUCUGUUCCAUUUUUUAUUGCUGUCUGUACUUUGGACUUGAACAUAUCUACAUAAAAAUUUUGAGAUGAUUCUGUGGCCCCAUCGCCGAUUUGGGGCUGUGUCUAACUAGUGGAGGUGUCUAUACAGGUUGUAGGUCCCCCUUGUUGCAUACUUCAGAUAAAGUCAACCGUUUGCAUCCUGGGGGACUCUCACUUCCCUAACAUCUGGGACUUUGUAGUGGCUACACCCUGUUCAUCAUUCCCCACUGCUACAUACUUUUAAUCAAUUUCCUGAAACUCUAAUUCUCUCAUGUCUUUUCUAUCACCUGAUCCUGUCCUCCCCACAACCCUGCAUAUUUAUUUAUCUUCCCCUUCUCUCUUGCUCCCAGGUCCCUGCCUUUCUCUACCUCCUGUGAUUAUUUUGUUCCCUGUACUAUGUGGGCAUGAACAUCCACACUUUGGUCUUCCUUCUUCUUAAGCUCCAUAUGGUUUGUGAGCUUUAUUGUGGCAUAUUGAGCUUUUGGGGGUAAUAAUAACUUAUCAGUUUGUACACAGCUUGUGUGUUCUUUUGUGUCUGGGUUACCUCUCUCAAGUUGAUAGAUUCUAGAUCUAUUAAUUUCCCUGAAAUUUUGUGAAGUCAUUGUUUAUAAUAACUUGGUAUACUCUAAUGUGCAAAUGCAUCUCAAUUUCUAUAUCCAUUCUUCCAUUGAGGUACAUGUGGCUUAGUUACAACGUGUGGAUAUUAUAAAUAAGAUUUAUAUAAACAUAAGGGAGCAUGGGGACUUGUUAUAUGUUGGAGCAUCUUUGAGGAUUUAUGUCUAGUAGUGUUAUAGCUAGUUGUUCAUGUAGAACUAUUUUUAAUUUUCCGAGGAAGCACUGCAUUGAUUUCUAAAGUGAUUUUACCAGCUUGUAGUUCUACCAGCAGUAGAGGAGUGUUGCUCUUUCUCCACAUCUUUGCCAGCAUCUCCUGUCGCCUGUGGUUUUGAUCUUAGUCAUUGGUGUGCUGUGGAUUGUGAGGGUCAUUUUGACUUACACAUCCCUGAUGAGGAAGGAUGUUGAACACUUCUUUAAGUGCCUCUCAUCCUUUCAAGGCUCCUUAGUUGAGAAUUCUUUGUUUAGCUCUGUACACCAUUUGAAAAAUAUUGUUUUUGGAUUUUUGGAGACUAACUUCUGAAUUUUUGUCUAUUUUUUAUAUUAGCUCUCUAUCAAAUGUAGGAUCAAUAGAGACCUUUUUCCAAUCUCGGGAUUGCCAUUUUCUCCUAAUGACUAAGACCUUUGCCUUACAGAUACUUUUCAAUUUUAUGAGGUCCCAUUUGUCGAAUGGUGAUUUUAGAACAUAAGCCAUUGGCAUUCUAAUCAAGAAAUUUCCCCUGUGCCAAUGUGUUUGAGUCUCUUCCCCAUGGUAUAUUCAGCGUAUCUGGUUUUGUAUGGAGGUCCUUCAUCAACUUGGAAUUGAACAUUGUACAAGGAGUGGAGAAUAGGUAAAUUUGCACUCUUUUCAUGCUCACCGACAGUUCAACCAACACCUUUGGUUGAAAAUGCUGUUUUGUUAUGCUGGAUGGAUUUGGCUUCUUUGUCACAGAUUAAUUGCCCAUCUGUGUGUAGGGUUAUUUUCUGGGUUGUACAUUGUAUUACCUUGAUCUACCUUCCUGUCCCUGUAUAAAUAACUGCGUUUUUUAAAAUUAUUUCUCUGUAGUACAGGUUGAAGUCAGGCAUGCUGAUUCUCCCAGAUUUCUUUUAUGGUUGAGAAUAUUUUCCCUGUCCUGUGUUUUUUGUCAUUCUAGAUGAAUUUGAGAAUUGCUCUAAUUCUAUGAUGAAUUGAGUUGGAAUUUUGAUGGGGAUUGCAUUGAAUCUAUAGACUGCCUUUGGUAAGAUGGCCAUUUUACUAUGUUUAUCCUGCUGAUCCAAGAGCAUGGGAGAUCUUUCCAUCUUCUGCGGUCUUCUCCAAUUUCUUUCAUCAGAGACUUGUCCCUGUUGUACAGAUCUUUCACUUGCUUGGUUAGAGUCACGCUGACGUAUUUUAUAGUAUAUGUGUCUAAUGUGAAGGGUGCUGUUUCCCUAAUUUUUCUCAGCCCAUUAUUUCUUUGAGUAGGGGAAUACUGCUGAUUUGGUAGAGUGAAUUUUCUAUCCAGCUACUUUGCUUAAGUUGUUUAUCAGCUGGAGGAGUUCUGGUACAGUUUUUUCUGGUCACAUGUUUAUACUAUCAUUUCAUCCACAAAUAGUGAUAUCUUAACUUCCUCCUUCCCAAUUUCUAUCCCUUUGCUCUCUUUUUGUUAUCUAAUUGCUCUGUCUAUAAAUUCUCGUAAUAUAUUGUAUAGAUAGGGGCAGAGUGGGCAGGCUUGCCUUGUUCCUGAUUUUAUUGGGAUUGCUUCAAGUUUCUCUACAUUUUGUUUGGUAUUGUCUGUUGGUUGUAUAUGGUUACAUAUUUACGUAAGUAUAAAUGUGUAUGAACAAAUAUAUAUAAACAUAUAUAUAUAUAUAUAUAUAUAUAUUCAGUUUAUAUGUCCUCUGCCCUUGUAACACUGAAUUACAGUAAUCAGGGUUGUUCUGGUUCUCAAUAUUAUAUGGGGGAAAGUUUGUGGAAAUGGUGUACUUUUAAACUACCCCCAUAGUUAAGCUUGUUUACAUGGCCAAAACAUUUAAAUUCUGAUGCUUAAUGAAAUUGAGCACCCUUGGUUUGUUAUUUUCUUUCUUCCUUAUAAGUGUGGGUAUGUUGUACCACCAUAUACAUCUGUGUAUAUAGGUGCGUGUGGAGGCUUGCCCUGAUGUUGACAGAAAUUAUCCUCUAAUUACUCUCCCUUGCUCAAUGAAAGAGAGUCUCUCAAUGGCUAAGCUGGCUGCCUGUUCUUCCUAGUAUUUAUGUAAUCUUCAGUUGAUCACUGAGCCAUCAGUACUGCACAUAUUUAUUUUUGAAAGUCACAGUCAAGAGUUUAUUUUGCCCCUUUUCUGCAUGGAAUUCUUUAUUGGUUUAUUACUCUUUUGAUAUAUUUUAAGUUGUACUCAUACCUUUUUGGCAAGGUUGGUUAUAGGGUUAUGCCACAAAUCCUGCCCUUUUCUUUGAACUGACAUGUAGUUGAUGAGCAAAGAUUGGAUUUUAAAGUUCUGCUCAGACCGUAGAGUAGGUAUAGUUUGUUUCAGGCACAAUACAUAAAAUAACUGAAAUAAUGUGCAAAAAUGAACAGCUCCCACUGAAACAUUAAAAUUUAGAUGAAAAUUUAGUUAGACUAGUUAGUUGUAUUUUUAUGCAUAAUCUUUUGUGUUCUCCUCUUGUCCAGCCAAGAUGCACACUUAUCUGGCAGUUCUGGAGAUCAUGAAAACCUGAUGUUUAAAGAGCGUCCACACAACUUCUCAAAAAGUCAUGAUAUGUCUGACAAAGUGGAAGCUUCUCGUAAAGUAACAGAGCUUGAGAAUGAACUGAACACUAAGUGAGAAGAGAGAGGUCACCUGUACUCAAGCAGGUCUCACCUUGGCAGUCGAUUUGUGGGGUGGGCCUGAAGAGGAAGGAACAAAUGUCCUUCUAAGUGAUGUUUAAUUUCUUUUUCUGAAAUGGUUGCAAUUGAGAGAUGUUCCACAUCCAAGAAAUUUUGUCUUACUUUACCAAGAAAAAUCCUGCCUAGUUCUUAGAGAUCUGACAAAGGUGAAGUUACCCGUUCUUGUUAGCAUUGGCACUCUUGGACCCAGAAGGCAGAAUGAAGGGCUUUAAAGAUGACAGGGUGUUUCCUCUACCCUACCUUUUCCAUUGUCAUUCCAAGGGCAGUAGGCCUAGACAUUAUCUUUUUGUUCUUUCUAAAACCUCCAUUUUCCUACCAGACAGUGAUCGCCGAAAAUUUCAGAGCACUACUGUGUCUCUGGAAUGCUGAUUCUCCCAGAAUUUCUUUUAUUGUUGAGAAUAUUUUCCCUAUCCUGUGUUUUUUGUCAUUCUAGAUGAAUUUGAGAAUUGCUCUUGUCUGCAGGAGACAGGCCUCUCAGCCUAGGGCAUUCCUGUGUCAUUGGGGACCCUGUAUGCAGGAGACAGGUCUCUUAGGGCAGGUGAAAUGUUGCCUGUACGUUCUUUAAUUUGCAUGAGUUGGCUGCAAGGAGUUGUUAAUGUAAGGCGCACAACACAUCAUUCAUCUAAAAUGUGAGCCUCCUGAUCCAAUGUAAAUGUUUGAGAUUGAAUAUCUAAUUCAUAAUUUAAUUUCCAAAAUUCUAGAGAAAGGUUUCAGAUUUGAUGCUAGGGAUUUUAUUUUUAUCAAUUCAAAUCACCAGAAUACUAAUCAUUAGUGGAAAGCAAAGGUGACAGUUCUAUUAGAGUUAACUAAUACUUCAGUGGUUCCAAAGGCUGUAGAGCUCUCACAGCAUUACACAGCAUUCUUGCAAGCAGGAGCAAAGACGUCCGAGAUAAAUGGGAGCUCAUGGGUGGCUGUCAAACACAGCUAUCUCAGAAGUUGUAAAUUUAGUAAAGAGAUUUAUAAACUCUGUCAGGAAAGGAAGAAGCGUGUUGCUGUGCCCCCUGUGACUUAAGUGUUAUAAGAACACUUGUGUCAGUUGAGUCUGCAUCUCUUUCUCAGCGUAACAGAUUUAUUUAAUUUUAAUUCCUGAAUUUUGCAUCCUCACUCCUCAGUUGAGCUAUGGGAGAAAGGCCUGUUUGCUUAUUUUGUGUGAAAGGUGACUUUAUGAUUUCAACACAUUUUCUUUUUCAGAAUCUCUAAUAUGGUUUCAGAAGAACUUUCUGUUCCAUAGAAAUCUGUGCAUCAGGGAAAUAAUCACAAUUUUAAAUAAAACGGAAGCAUUUGAAACCCAAAAAUUCUUUUUAAUAAGAGCUGUAUGAUCAAUUGUUGAAAUACAACCAUUAGUAUUUUUUACGUUUAUCAAGUUUCCUAUUUGAAAGCAUGUCUUUGUUUUUUCCUCUGUAAGAGAAUAGAAUGUCCCAGAGAGCUGAUGAAGGAUUUGCACACUUGUCUUGCCCAGGAAGUGCAUUCUCCUUGUGUCUGCAGCACAUAGGGAGCCUUUGAUAGCAUAAAAAGAAGCCUUUGAUACCUCCCAAAGAAGAGCAGGUACCUCCUGUCCCUAGUGCAUGGGAAGACAGAUGCACUCAAGAACCUGCAAGCAUCUGAAAACACUGCAUGUGUGUUUGUGAGACCUGUAGUGAAGUAGACUUGGCCAUCCCUGGACAGUGAGGUCAGAUGUGAAUAAGUGUUGCAAGAGCACAUUGAAUAGCAUACACUACUGUUGGGAAAUGUUUUCCUAAGGCCUGGACUCCCCAAACUACACACUGAUAAGCCCAUUGCCUUAAAGGUCUUCUGGUCAUUCACGUUUCAAAUGUAAGUGGCCGCUCAGUACUGAUGGAAGGAAGGUAUGUUUCAUUAUCAUGGCACAGGAUACACUGAUCCGUUCCAGCAGGCUGAAGGGUCAGUGGGAUGUUGUGUCCCCUCACCCUCAUGACUACUGUGCUUUAGCACGGGGAGCAGGACAGUGUCCAAAUCUCAGGGUUUGGGUGAAAUGUAAUGAUGGAGUUGGGAAGUUGCUGGUCAAAGGAUGUAAAGUUCAGAUGAACAGGGAAUGACUUUGAGUACUGUUACCUGUAGCCUAUGACACUCAGCAGUGUCCUAUAAAUAAUGCAAAGGAACUUUAAGAAAGGGGAAGCAUGUUUGAGGGUUUAAAAAGCUUGUGGGGAACUUUUUUGGAAGAACAGAACUUAUAUGUUGGAAUUAGUGUUUGUAUUUCUAUAUUUUAAUUUAUUUUUUUUAAUUCCUUAGAGACAUCCCUUAGAAACUAGAUUUGGUGCUGACCCAGGACCAUGUCUUCUUGUGCUCCCUGUCCUGUGUGGGAUUUGUGGCUCAGGCCUACUGUGGCCCCUGGUCUCUGUACCACUUCAUUUUCUGCCAAAUCCUACAUGAGUCUUCCUUUGCCCAUUCCCAGGUAAUAAAGUGAUUUCAGAAACAGUUAUACUCAUGAAUUUAUUAUACAAUUAAGCAGAAUAGGGUGGUUGAUUGACUUGGCAGAAGAAAUUUUCAUCUCCUAAAGUGUCAGGUGAUUGUGUUUGUAUAAGAAUUUUUUUCAACCUGUUCACUCACAGCGCUGGGAGGUAAGUGCCAGUCUUGAGAUUGCCUAAACGUUUUAAACAGUAUGUAGAUAGUACUGCCCCUACUCGCCCUGUGAUCCCAGGCAGUCACAUACAGAACAGGAUGGGGGAUCAGGAGACAUCAGCAGACCACAGGUGUGGAUAAAUGUUAAAGUGUGAGAAAUGAACACAGAACCUGCGGGGCCUGAUUGAAGGACCCUAUAAGACAUUGUCUGUGUGGUAGACUCUCCUGAGAUGGUAGAGUGGAAGGGGAAGGGCCUCCUCCAUUACAAGUCUCAGGGGGCAGGAUCGCCAGUGGGCUGGGAAAGUGAUGCCUCUAGGUGAGAUGGGUAUUCAAUGCCACAGUAAAUUGAUUUGUAUUUUACAAGCACUGUAAAUGCGAAGGAUAUUGAAAGGUAGCCUGGAAAACUUCAGUGUAUGGGCAAAGACUCAUGCACGCGCAUGAGUGGCCAAUGAACAAUACCCGGCCCUCCUCUCUCGGACUUAGCCACGCCCUUCAUUAGUUCCUGAGGGGAUUUUUCAGAACAGAGGUUAUGGCAGUUUCACCAUCCAAUUCCAUUUUUAGCAGGUGUGCUUCCUGGCCAAAGAAGUCAGAUGAGUGCAUGAGCAGCCCCUUCGAGGACAAGGCUUGGAUUCCCAGGAGCAGACAAGGAACUCUGUGGGCAUACUCCAAGGAAACUGGUGAGAACCACAGCCAGCAUUUUGGAUCUUUGCAAAUUUGCCUAAGUGUACAUUGAAAGAAGAAACCUCUAUUCUGGCAACUAGUGCUACAUUCCUUAAGGAGAGCACAGCUCUGCCUGCUUCAAGCUCAAGCUUAGCUAUCGGGAAGCUUCCCCCUGGGACUGGACCUUGGCACCUAACUCAGGACCACUUUACCUCACCUUGAGAGAUAGACUUCCAUCCACCCCAAGAUAGACAAGACUUCCAUCCACCCCACGACAGAGCUGGGGUUAGAGCAGCGACUUUCAGGCUCUGGAGCACACCAAGAAUGCACACUCUAGUGUUUGUGGGCUGCAGGCAGAACUGAGCAGAGGUUUCUGUUGGCUUCCGUUUGGAGGACUGGGGUCCAAGAGUUGGCUCCAGUUCUCCUCCGUUUGUAGGUAGCUGGUUCCUCUUGGUGCCCUGUGGUCUCUCUCUGCACCCUUCAAGUGUCUGUGACAUUAGGGUCCCUUUCAUAAAGACAGCAAUGUCAUUACAAGAGAGCCCACCUUUCAGGUUUCCUUGAAUGGAUCACGUGGAAGGCAUUGUCACCUACUAAGUGUCAGGGACUUCAUCCUUCACCAUAUUAAUUGGGUUACAACUUGUCCAAGUGAAGGUAGUGAAGAGAGACUCAUAGGGUCAGAGCAAACCUGACAGAACUAUCUCACCAUGCCCCAUUCUAAUUGGACCAGACUUUGUAAAUGUGUCCCAGGUCUUUCUGGCACUGCUGUCCAUCAUUGUUCUCACAGUAUAGCUCUGUCAUUUACGGGGAAAAACUGAACAAAAGGCAUCUCAUCAGAAAGGAAGAACAAGGCAGUAGACUUGUAGAUGGAAUCCUGUUAUAAAUGGCAGAGACCCUAAGGAAUCUGCUAAAGUUUAGCACUGAACAGUGAGUUAUACAAGACCAAUGAAUAUAAGCUCUGUCAGCAGAAAUAAAGCAUUUCUAUAUCCUAGCAGUAAACAAAACAAAAUAGGGGAAAAUUUUUAUGUCGUACACCAACUUUUAUAAAAACCAAAAAUAUUUUGUAAAUAAUUUCGCCAAACACACACUAAACUUUUAACUAUAGCUUCUAUUUUUGUUUGAAAUCUAGGAAGUAAGUAAAUUUCAUCAAAAUAUUGCAGAAUAAUUCAUAAUCAACUGAAUACAUUUAGAAAUCAACAGUAUAUAACUUGUAGGUUUUCAUUACUCAGUAUAUAACUCAGAGGUUUUCAAACUCAUAUCGUGGGUUCUCUUUACCAAUCAGAGUUUAGAAGUGCAGAUAAUGCUGUCUCCAUGUAGUCACACAUACUCUGUGAGAAGAUUUAGAGAGUUAAUUCUCUAACAGGAGGGUCUGCAUCCCAGUCUGGAGACAGAAUUCCCUUCAAGAGGGUCUGAAUCUCCUGCAGGUAUGAGUAGCCCCCUCAGAGGAAGGACUGAAUCUCCUGCAGGAGAGAAUGACAAAAAUGAGAGGAUCCAUAGGAGGAGGGACUUAAUUUCUUCUCUGAUGGGACUGGAGCACCAACAGGAAUUUGACUCUGUAGUCUGCUAGAUUAUUUUCAGUAUGAUGUUCUGAGUUCCCUGAAUCCACAGCUGGAGCACUGAGCCACCACCAGGAACACUGCACCUGGACCAGUUGUCUUCAGGGAAUUAAAUACGAAUUUCACUUCUUUGGCUAUUAAAAUCCCACCAUGCUCUAGCUUCCUUCCAACAUCCACCCUUCAUUGACCACCAUCUCAGCUUCUCAAUAAAUCCUUCCUCUCCUUGAUUUUCCAAGACUACCUACGUCUUAUGAGCACCUACACACACACACACACACACACACACACACACACACACACACACACACACACACACACACACUCACACACCUGGCUUUGAAGGGAUGAGAUUUUGAUUUUUAAGGCUGAAAUGUUUCUAUGACUUUCUCUGUAAACCCUGCUACCCUGCUUCCCAGGUACUUUCCACGGCACCUUACUGACCGAAAGAUAAAAGAGUCUCGAGUAUCAAGCUUGCAUCCCUGGUAGUCCUCAGGUCUGGAGCUGAUGGGCUCAGAGCCAUGGGGUGUGUGUGGGUAGCCGGCCAGGCCUUGCUGAGGCUGACUUGUCUUGUCUCUGCAGUAUGUGAAGGAGUCUUCACAACCUGACUGUUGACUUUCUCCUUGCUGAGACUGUUUCUACCAUUUCUUGUUCUCUGUUCAUUAAUGGUGUUUCAGUGUGGGCAGGUAAAUGCUGUUUUGAAUCAUUUUUUUUUUUUUGGAUCCUGGCUGCAGGUUAAAGAAAAAAAAGGUAGUUGAAUUGGAAACAGAAAAUGCUGUUCUGUCCCUGAGAUUGGCAUAGGUAAUCUCUGUCCUGUAGACUGAUUGACUGAUGAGACACAUGUGAGUGUUUGCUUUGCAUGGGCUACUGCAGUUGCAAAAGAUUAAAAGAACGGUAGCUAUCCUUUGAUGGUUGGUCCCCUCCAGUGUGGUGCACAUUUAAUGAGUCAUCCACUAGUGGAACAUAUAUUAAUCCUAAAUUUUUCAUCCUCGUGCUCAGAAGUAUUUAAGGAAUAAUCCAUUAAUGAUACAUCCAACAGUUGGGUCUGGACAACUUUGUUGUACUGUUUAUGCAUGAUGAAUUCAUCCAAAUUAAUUUUAACCAAUCUAUAGAUA